rnacentral:rRNA from 1 species
GAUGAACGCUGGCGGCGUGCCUAAUACAUGCAAGUCGAGCGAACGGACGAGAAGCUUGCUUCUCUGAUGUUAGCGGCGGACGGGUGAGUAACACGUGGAUAACCUACCUAUAAGACUGGGAUAACUUCGGGAAACCGGAGCUAAUACCGGAUAAUAUUUUGAACCGCAUGGUUCAAAAGUGAAAGACGGUCUUGCUGUCACUUCUAGAUGGAUCCGCGCUGCAUUAGCUAGUUGGUAAGGUAACGGCUUACCAAGGCAACGAUGCAUAGCCGACCUGAGAGGGGGAUCGGCCACACUGGAAGUGAGACACGGUCCAGACUCCUACGGGAGGCAGCAGUAGGGAAUCUUCCGCAAUGGGCGAAAGCCUGACGGAGCAACGCCGCGUGAGUGAUGAAGGUCUUCGGAUCGUAAAACUCUGUUAUUAGGGAAGAACAUAUGUGUAAGUAACUGUGCACAUCUUGACGGUACCUAAUCAGAAAGCCACGGCUAACUACGUG